rnacentral:rRNA from 1 species
AUACGGAGGGUGCAAGCGUUAAUCGGAAUUACUGGGCGUAAAGAGUACGUAGGUGGUUUGUUAAGUCAGAUGUGAAAGCCCCGGGCUCAACCUGGGAACUGCAUUUGAAACUGGCAAGCUAGAGUAUGGUAGAGGGGGGUAGAAUUUCUAGUGUAGCGGUGAAAUGCGUAGAUAUUAGAAGGAAUACCAGUGGCGAAGGCGGCCCCCUGGACCAAUACUGACACUGAGGUACGAAAGCGUGGGUAGCGAACAGGAUUAGAUACCCUAGUAGUCC